GACGAACGCUGGCGGCGUGCUUAACACAUGCAAGUCGAACGGAAAGGCCCCUUUGGGGGUACUCGAGUGGCGAACGGGGGAGUAACACGUGAGUAACCUGCCCUUGACUUCGGGAUAACUUCAGGAAACUGGGGCUAAUACCGGAUAGGAAUCCUUGCUGCAUGGGGGGGGUUGGAAAGCUUCGGCGGGUUUGGAUGGACUCGCGGCAUAUCAGCUUGUUGGUGGGGUAGUGGCUUACCAAGGCGUUGUCGGGUAGCCGGCCUGAGAGGGCGACCGGCCACAUUGGGACUGAGAUACGGCCCAGGCUCCUACGGGAGGCAGCAGUGGGGAAUAUUGCACAAUGGGCGGAAGCCUGAUGCAGCAGCGCCGCGUGCGGGAUGACGGCCUUCGGGUUGUAAACCGCUUUCAGCAGGGGCGAAGCUUGUGGUGACGGUACCUGCAGAAGAAGCACCGGCUAACUACGUG
rnacentral:rRNA from 1 species